CUAUUUUUAGUACAGAUGCGGUGCCUAGUUGGGAUAAUAUUGUUAUUGCAUAUGAACCUGUAUGGGCCAUUGGAACUGGCAAAGUAGCCUCUCCCGAGCAAGCUCAGGAAGUACAUGUGGCUCUCCGUGAUUGGCUUAAGAAUAAUGUCUCAGCUGAAGUCGCAUCUAAAACACAAAUAAUUUAUGGAGGAUCUGUAAAUGGGGGCAAUAGUGCUGAGCUUGCAAAGAAAGAAGACAUUGAUGGAUUUCUUGUUGGAGGUGCUUCAUUAAAGGGUCCUGAAUUUGCCACCAUUGUCAAUUCAGUCACAUCCAAGAAAGUCGCAGCUUGAUUACUUAUUGUGGUUUUUGCAAUAUGAGAGCAUUAACGAAUAUGACAGUAAUGACAUUAUGUGUCCUGUUAUAAUAGUGUGGUCAUCAAUCAUCAUAAUCCCAAUGUCACUAGCAACUUAGCACGAUGGGUAGCAGUAAGCAAACUGCAGGCCUCAGCUCUAAUUUCAGGUCAGUUACUUUCAAUUCAAGACGCCUAUCUAAAUAUAUUUUCUCAUUUUUCUUAA